rnacentral:rRNA from 1 species
AUUGAACGCUGGCGGCAUGCUUUACACAUGCAAGUCGGACGGCAGCACAGAGAAGCUUGCUUCUUGGGUGGCGAGUGGCGAACGGGUGAGUAAUAUAUCGGAACGUACCGAGUAAUGGGGGAUAACUAAUCGAAAGAUUAGCUAAUACCGCAUAUUCUCUGAGGAGGAAAGCAGGGGACCUUCGGGCCUUGCGUUAUUCGAGCGGCCGAUAUCUGAUUAGCUAGUUGGUGGGGUAAAGGCCUACCAAGGCGACGAUCAGUAGCGGUCUGAGAGGAUGAUCCGCCACACUGGGACUGAGACACGGCCCAGACUCCUACGGGAGGCAGCAGUGGGGAAUUUUGGACAAUGGGCGCAAGCCUGAUCCAGCCAUGCCGCGUGUCUGAAGAAGGCCUUCGGGUUGUAAAGGACUUUUGUCAGGGAAGAAAAGGCUGUUGCUAAUACCGACAGCUGAUGACGGUACCUGAAGAAUAAGCACCGGCUAACUACGUG